rnacentral:rRNA from 1 species
UACGGAGGGUGCAAGCGUUAUCCGGAUUCACUGGGUUUAAAGGGUACGUAGGAGGGCAGGUAAGUCAGUGGUGAAAUCCCCGAGCUUAACUUGGGAACUGCCGUUGAUACUAUCUGUCUUGAAUGUUGUGGAGGUGAGCGGAAUAUGUCAUGUAGCGGUGAAAUGCUUAGAUAUGACAUAGAACACCAAUUGCGAAGGCAGCUCGCUACACAAUUAUUGACUCUGAGGCACGAAAGCGUGGGGAUCAAACAGG